AGGAGGAGGAGGAAGAAGAAGAAGAAGAAGAAGUUGUUGAAAGCACAUCUGACAUGCAAGGAAUCCAGUGUUCUUCCCCAUCAUAAGAUGAACUCCUAACCAUUGGGCCAGCAGCCCAAUGUCACAGCACCACCACUCAGGGGGGCGCCCCAUCAA